AAACUUCACUCCUCUAAACCUCACUCCUCAAAACCUCCCUUCUCAAAUACUCCCGUCUCAAAACUUCCCUUCUCAAAAUCUCACUCCUCAAAACUUCACUCCUCAACACCUCACUUCUCAAAAUCUCACUCCUCAAAUUCUCCCUUCUCCAAACCUGACUCCUCAAAAUCUCCCUUCUCAAAACCUCCCUUCUCAAAUCUCCCUUCUCAAAACCUCCCUUCUCAAAAUCUCCCUUCUCAAAACCUCACUCCGCAAACCUCACUCCCCAAACCUCCCUUCUCAAAACCUCCCUUCUCAAAUCUCCCUUCUCAAAACCUCUCUUCUCAAAAUUCUCACUCCUCAAAACCUCACUCCUCAAAACCUCCCUUAUCAAAACCUCACUUCUCAAAACCUCACUCCUCAAAAUCUCCCUUCUCAAAACCUCCCUUCUCAAAACCUCCCUUCUCAAAACCUCCCUUCUCAAAACCUCACUCCUCAAAACCUCACUCCUCAAAACCUCACUCCUCAAAACCUCCCUUCUCAAAACCUCCCUUCUCAAAAUCUCACUCUUCAAAACUUCACUCCUCUAAACCUCACUCCUCAAAAUCUCCCUUCUCAAAACCUCACUCCUCAAAACCUCACUCCAUAAACCUCCCGUCUCAAAACCUCCCUUCUCAAAAUCUCACUCCUCAAAACUUCACUCCUCAAAACCUCCCUUCUCAAAAUCUCCCUUCUCAAAACCUCACUCCUCAAAAUCUCCCUUCUCAAAACUUCACUCCUCAAAACUUCACUCCUCAAAACUUCACUCCUCAAAACUUCACUCCUCAAAACCUCCCAUCUCAAAACCUCCCUUCUCAAAACCUCCCUUCUCAAAACCUCACUCCUCAAAUUCUCACUCCCCAAACCUCCCUUCUCAAAACCUCCCUUCUCAAAAUCUCACUCCUGAAAACUUCACUCCUCAACACCUCACUUCUCAAAAUUCUCACUCCUCAAAUUCUCCCUUCUCCAAACCUCACUCCUCAAAACCUCCCUUCUCAAAACCUCCCUUCUCAAAACCUCCCUUCUCAAAACCUCACUCCUCAAAACCUCACUCCUCAAAACCUCACUCCUCAAAAACUCCCUUCUCAAAACCUCACUCCUCAAAACCUCACUCCUCAAAAUCUCCCUUCUCAAAUCUCCCUUCUCAAAACCUCCCUUCUCAAAUCUCCCUUCUCAAAACCUCCCUUCUCAAACAUGCUGGCAAUGUUCUCUUCAGAAGACACAGCUUCCUUCUCUCCACAUUAA
rnacentral:lncRNA from 8 species